rnacentral:rRNA from 1 species
GACGAACGCUGGCGGCGUGCUUAACACAUGCAAGUCGAACGGAAGGCCCUGCUUGCAGGGUACUCGAGUGGCGAACGGGUGAGUAACACGUGGGUGAUCUGCCCUGCACUUCGGGAUAAGCUUGGGAAACUGGGUCUAAUACCGGAUAGGAACCAUCUUUAGUGUGGUGGUUGGAAAGUUUUUCGGUGUAGGAUGAGCUCGCGGCCUAUCAGCUUGUUGGUGGGGUAAUGGCCUACCAAGGCGGCGACGGGUAGCCGGCCUGAGAGGGUGUACGGCCACAUUGGGACUGAGAUACGGCCCAG